CAGUAGCCGCGGUAAAACGGAGGAUCCAAGCGUUAUCCGGAAUCAUUGGGUUUAAAGGGUCCGUAGGCGGUCUUGUAAGUCAGUGGUGAAAGCCCAUCGCUCAACGGUGGAACGGCCAUUGAUACUGCAGGACUUGAAUUAUUGGGAAGUAACUAGAAUAUGUAGUGUAGCGGUGAAAUGCUUAGAGAUUACAUGGAAUACCAAUUGCGAAGGCAGGUUACUACCAAUUGAUUGACGCUGAUGGACGAAAGCGUGGGUAGCGAACAGGAUUAGAUACCCCUGUAGUCCCUGUCUCUUAUAA
rnacentral:rRNA from 1 species